rnacentral:rRNA from 1 species
CACGCAGGCGGUCCUGUCAGUCUGGGGUGACAGUUCCCGGCUUCACCGGGAAAGUGCUCUGGAAACUGCAGGACUUGAGGGCUUCAGAGGGAUGUGGAAUUCCAGGUGGAGUGGUGAAAUGCGUAGAGAUCUGGAAGAACACCAAAGGCGAAGGCAGCAUCCUGGGAAGUUCCUGACGCUCGGGUGCGAAAGCCAGGGGAGCGAACGGGAUUAGAUACCCCGGUAGUCCUGGCCGUAAACGAUGACCACUAGACGUUGGGGGUAUCGACCCCCUCAGUGUCGUAGUUAACACGCUAAGUGGUCCGCCUGGGGAGUACGGUCGCAAGAUUAAA